ACAGCGAAACUGCGAAUGGCUCAUUAUAUAAGUUAUCGUUUAUUUGAUAGUACCUUACUACUUGGAUAACCGUGGUAAUUCUAGAGCUAAUACAUGCUAAAAAUCCCGACUUCGGAAGGGAUGUAUUUAUUAGAUUAAAAACCAAUGCCCUCUGGGCUCCUUGGUGAUUCAUAAUAACUUUUCGAAUCGCAUGGCCUUGCGCCGGCGAUGGUUCAUUCAAAUUUCUUCCCUAUCAACUUUCGAUGUUUGGGUAUUGGCCAAACAUGGUCGCAACGGGUAACGGAGGGUUAGGGCUCGACCCCGGAGAAGGAGCCUGAGAAACGGCUACUACAUCCAAGGAAGGCAGCAGGCGCGCAAAUUACCCAAUCCCGAUUCGGGGAGGUAGUGACAAUAAAUACUGAUACAGGGCUCUUUUGGGUCUUGUAAUUGGAAUGAGUACAAUUUAAAUCCCUUAACGAGGAACAAUUGGAGGGCAAGUCUGGUGCCAGCAGCCGCGGUAAUUCCAGCUCCAAUAGCGUAUAUUAAAGUUGUUGUGGUUAAAAAGCUCGUAGUUGAACCUUGGGCCUGGCUGGCCGGUCCGCCUCACCGCGUGUACUGGUCCGGCCGGGCCUUUCCCUCUGUGGAACCUCAUGCCCUUCACUGGGUGUGGCGGGGAAACAGGACUUUUACUUUGAAAAAAUUAGAGUGCUCCAGGCAGGCCUAUGCUCGAAUACAUUAGCAUGGAAUAAUGAAAUAGGACGUGUGGUUCUAUUUUGUUGGUUUCUAGGACCGCCGUAAUGAUUAAUAGGGACAGUCGGGGGCAUCAGUAUUCAAUUGUCAGAGGUGAAAUUCUUGGAUUUAUUGAAGACUAACUACUGCGAAAGCAUUUGCCAAGGAUGUUUUCAUUAAUCAGGAACGAAAGUUAGGGGAUCGAAGACGAUCAGAUACCGUCGUAGUCUUAACCAUAAACUAUGCCGACUAGGGAUCGGACGAUGUUAUUUUUUGACGCGUUCGGCACCUUACGAGAAAUCAAAGUGCUUGGCU
rnacentral:rRNA from 1 species